rnacentral:lncRNA from 10 species
AAGCACUAGAAAAAAUCUUCUAACCUUGAGUUGGUCUGGUGAGUUACUCUGACCUUCUCCUUGUAACUGGUUGCAGAAAUAAACUCCCUUCUUUCCCAGUCUGCCUGCAUCUCAUUAUUGGAUCACCAGGACAAGCAGCCAGGCCUCAUUCUGUCCGGGAGCAAAUCUGGUAACUCUCCCAGGAGAGCUCAGCAGCCAGCGGCUCGCAAAGAGGUAGUCUUUGGGUGACCCCCAGCAGCUGCCUGGUAUGGUUUGUCCUGGGGACUCUCCUGAGGACCUUUCUGGCUGCAAAGACUGCCCGUCUCUCUAUUACUGGGAAAGAAUAGAGAUUGGGAGCAGUUGCACUCAAAAGCCCUGCAGCUAGCUGUCCCAAGUAAACAACGCUCUUGGAGUAAAUUGGAAACUCACACAGCAUGGAAACCACAACCUUCUGGACAGACUGAAAGGAUGAAUCAAACACGAAAACAGUGCCAAACUGUGCCAACUAAAAUGGAUUCAGGUACUCAGCAUUGUACUGCUUUGGACGGAGUCUCCCUCUGUUGCUGUGUCGCCCACGCUGGAGUGUAGUGGCACAACAUCUGCUCACUGCAACUUCUGACACUCAGGUUCAAGCUGUUCUCCUGCUCAGCCUUCCAAAUAGCUGGAACUACAGGCAUGUGCCACUACGCCUGUCUAAUUUUUUAUUUUUAGUAGAGAUGGGGUUUCACCAUGUUGGUCAGGCUGGUCUCAAACUCCUGACCUCGGGUGAUCCACCCUCUUCGGCCUCCCAACAAGCCAAAUUCUUGACUGAAAAUUUUAUCUAUUGUUAAUGGCACAAAUUAAUUACUAUAUAUUCCAUAAAGUCUUUCUUGACUCUCUCCACACUCCCUCCCUGGAGAGGUGAUUUCUCUUUACUCUUACCUUUUUAUCCUUGGUUAUUUUAUUAGCUCAUUUAUGAACUUGUUUAGAAACAGGUCCAUUCUUCUGAAUGUUAGCAGCCAUUUCUUAAUUUUUUCUCAUUUUUAUAUUCAACCAUGUUGAACAUGGUGAAAGAUCAAUAGAUAGCGAGGAAUAAAGGUUAAUACAAAUGAUAUUUCAUUCCAUGAUCUCGUUGGUUCAUUGAACCCAAUCACUCCUGUUAAUUAAAGCAAAGUUUCCUGGUGUUGCUAUAAUUUUUUAAAAUGUAAAAGUGCAAGAAAAAUUUUGGCGAAGAGAAAUUUGGUCAAGUAAUUUUCAAAAGAGAUAGGUAAGUUAGAUAAUAUUAAGCAUCACUGUAACUUUUCUAUUUUAUCAUCCAACAAAGCAUGAAGUGCUAUGUAAUAGGCAGUUUGAACCAUCUCCGAUAACAUACACCUGCACAAUAAGGCAAAACAGCAAAUACAUUGCCCAAGUAAAAAGAUUUGAAAAUGCAGUGUAAUCACAUAAAUGCUAAAUCAUUAGGCCCAAAACAUUCCCUGAAAUUUAUGUAGUAGAGAAAACGUAAGAGGCUCCCAUAACACUUUCUUCUCUAUGAAGCCUUUACCAAAUGAUGAGGACAAAAAAGAUAAUUACCUCCUAACCUAUUCUGAUUGAACAUGCAACUCUCUCCACUCGCCCCCCUCUUUUUCCUCAUCUGCACAUCAUAUAAAUGUAGUACUGUCUUUGGGUAGCUCCUUUACU